CUCCAUCAUAAUUUAUAUUACAAAUUACAGAGAGUCUACUACAUCAUUCGCAAAUACCUACCCUUUCUGAACUCCCUCUUCCUCUUUCUCUCAAUCACCCACGAUGAACGAUGCAGAUGUCUCCAAACAGAUCCAGCAGAUGGUCAGAUUCAUCCGUCAGGAAGCUGAAGAGAAGGCCAACGAGAUCUCAGUUUCUGCUGAAGAAGAAUUCAAUAU
rnacentral:misc_RNA from 1 species